UACGGGAGGCAGCAGUGGGGAAUAUUGCACAAUGGGCGAAAGCCUGAUGCAGCUAUGCCGCGUGUAUGAAGAAGGCCUUAGGGUUGUAAAGUACUUUCAUCGGGGAGGAAAAAACAAAACUAAUAAUUUUAUUUCUUGACGUUACCCGAAAAAGAAGCACCGGCUAACUCCGUGCCAGCAGCCGCGGUAAUACGGAGGGUGCUAGCGUUAAUCAGAAUUACUGGGCGUAAAGAGCACGUAGGUGGUUUUUUUAAGUCAGAUGUGAAAUCCCUGGGCUUAACCUGGAACUGCAUUUUGAAACUGAAAUACUAGAGUAUCGUAGAGGGAGGUAGAAUUCUAGGUGUAGCGGUGAAAUGCGUAGAUAUCUGGAGGAAUACCUGUGGCGAAAGCGGCCUCCUAAACGAAUACUGACACUGAGGUGCGAAAGCGUGGGGAGCAAACGAGGGAUUAGGAU
rnacentral:rRNA from 1 species